ACAAUCAGUCUGAUCAGAGCCACAGUCAGACCAUUCAGAGUCUGGAGUGAAGUUACUAAAUUGCAAACAAAGUCUCUACCAGCAAUAAGUCUGAUUUGUCGCUUACAGACAACUUCCCAACUGCCACGCAGAAAAGGUCAAAGGGAGUAGCCUCUGGUCCUUCUGUUACUGAGGCAUGGAAAGUUAGGGUUUUCCUUUCAAUUUAGUUCUAGGAAGUCAGUGUGAAAAGCCUUAGGUUCCCUGCCUCCAGUCUCUAUUCUCCUGCCUCACAUGGCCUUUUGACCUUAUAUAAAAUAUGCUUGCUUUUUUGCAGAAAGGUUGGGGUGAAACUCUCCACUCCUGCUUUCAUACCAUUUGAAGUUCAGACCAGUGAGAUUUCCAUCAGUUGGGAGUUGAAGAUGCCACAAGGACAAGAACUGAGGAUGGUUUGCUCAGAGCUGAUUUUUAGACACCAUUUUCCAGGGAUCCCUGGUGACAGAGGAGCAUUUUUUUUGUGGUUGAGUUCUGAAUUAAAAAGUGUCGUACUA
rnacentral:lncRNA from 1 species